UACGUAGGGUGCGAGCGUUAAUCGGAGUUACUGGGCGUAAAGCGUGCGCAGGCGGUUAUGUAAGACAGAUGUGAAAUCCCCGGGCUCAACCUGGGAACUGCAUUUGUGACUGCAAAGCUGGAGUGCGGCAGAGGGGGAUGGAAUUCCGCGUGUAGCAGUGAAAUGCGUAGAUAUGCGGAGGAACACCGAUGGCGAAGGCAAUCCCCUGGGCCUGCACUGACGCUCAUGCACGAAAGCGUGGGGAGCAAACAGG
rnacentral:rRNA from 1 species